rnacentral:tmRNA from 1 species
GGGGGCGACCAGGUUUCGACCGGACGGUCAUCUUCUCCGGUGGCGUGCAGAGGCUCCGGGAGGCCUCUCAAAAACCCGGAAACGGUCAAGUUGCCGAAAAUAACUACUCUCUCGCUGCCUAGUUAAAAGCUAGCCAGCCGUCCUCCCUGCCAUGCCCGUGGGGUGGGUGAGGACGCCAUCACACGGGCUGGCUCGGCGUUCGGACGCGCGGCGCAGAGCGAGAACCUAGCGCGACUAGCGCGCGUGGAACCCUGUUCGUCGGGGUCCACGUGAGCGGGAAACACUAGACGAACUACGCACGUAGAAGCCGGUUUGGGUGCGUCUUGGGACGCGGGUUCGAUUCCCGCCGCCUCCAUCG